UACGAGGGGAGCAAGCGUUGUUCGGAUUUACUGGGCGUAAAGGGCGCGUAGGCGGCGUGACAAGUCACUUGUGAAAUCUCCGGGCUUAACUCGGAACGGUCAAGUGAUACUGUCGUGCUAGAGUACAGAAGGGGCAACUGGAAUUCUCGGUGUAGCGGUGAAAUGCGUAGAUAUCGGGAGGAACACCUGCGGCGAAGGCGGGUUGCUGGGCUGAUACUGACGCUGAGGCGCGAAAGCCAGGGGAGCGAACGGG
rnacentral:rRNA from 1 species